rnacentral:lncRNA from 1 species
UCUAUCUUUCCAUCUUGGAUCUUCCUUGUAUAUUCACGGUAUGGACAUCAACAUCCGGAACAUGCAACACUCUUCCCCUUGACUCUUAAGAGGAUACCUGGCAACGUGAUCUAGUGCAUACAGAAGCCAAAAUACAGAAAAAGAAAAGAAAAGAAGGCCCUAGUUCGUAUGUAAAAUGACCUUGUUUCGUUCGAUUCAUACCAUAUUGUGGAGCGGUUCGAAACCCAUUUUUCAGUCAUUCGUUUAGAAGAGAAGACAAAUAAGGUAACUAUUUCCCGCAAAUCGUAUAUAUCUAACUUCCGGAUCCGGCCCAUCAGUCAUCUAAAUAUGGCGAGAAGUAAAAUUAAAUGCCGGGGCAGCAGCGCAUGCACGAGUCUAUCGGAUGAUGAUCUUUGCCGUUACAACUAGGAUCUUUUCAGUUGACCUUUCUUUUAGGAUUUUCGAGCCGAUCCUGGAAAAUGAAGUCUUCGGUUUUCCUUUUUCUUCUAGUCUCCGGAUAUUUUUUUUUUCUCAUACAACUUCAACUAAAUUUGGAAGCGGGAGGUUUUUUUUUUCCGUCGACUCGCGCUUUAGGCACUUUGUUGACCGGUUUGGCUGCAGAAAAGCCCCUUUUCUUUGCAUCAGGUACUGUGUUUAGUCGACUCGACUCGGCCUAGAUCUACAGCCGACGCGAUGUAAGCGAAAUUUGAUCCAGACAAAGAUCAUGUAAAAGGCAUCCAUUCUGUCAAUUUUAAAAAUGUAGAGACACGCAUACGUUGUCCCUGUUGGCGGUCUGUGGGCUUCAAUAGUCUGUUAGUAUUCUUCACCUGGGCAAAACUUCGCAUUCUGGCUGUGAAGAUAAACUUGGAAUAUUUCAAUCCAGGCUAGCUCUUCCUAUAUCUCACCGCUAGUCCAGUAGGCAGCACCCGACGACGUGACCCUAGCACUACAUCCCGGGCAAACAGCCAGCGAGGCUCUUGGUGAUGGUUGCGGCGGCAAGAUCGCCUUGUGGCGCCCUUACUGUACUCUCUGGUUCUCAUUGGUUCUGAUUGACUCCCAUACAUUCCUACACAUUCCCACGCAUUCCUACGCAUUCUCCGGUCCAGUCUCAUCUGGUCCCGUCCCGUCCCGUCCCGUCCUGUGGAUUGUUCUGCUCGACUUCCUUUGCAUGGCAUGUGGCUCCCCAGGCAGCCUCCUGAUCUUAUAUCGGCAACACCUUACUCCUUAGGGAAUUGACUCUUCUCGGCCAUUCACACAUUCUGUAGACUCAUAUGUAGAAGUAGUUGAUGAUUGAAAAAAUCAGACUCUGCCUUAUUCCAAUUUCUUUUCAGUUUAGGCUCUUUUUGGAAAUGAAUUUCAAGGUUGCCUUGCGGGCGGGCUUGAUGGUAGGUAGGCGCAUAGUUGCAAGGCUUUGUCUCCCCCAACCUCCUUUGAAACAGACCCUGUAGACCCCUCACCCAUCGCCUCCAGCUAUCUUCGGACCGUGGUAUCCCAAACAAACACUUUUCCUCCAUUUUCGUUUUCCUUGGAGAAUUCUAAAAUGGCGACGAUCCCCGUCGAGCGUCACUUUUCGACGGUUGUGCAAACGCUUCUUAGCACUACGACACCAAGCCAGCCUGUCAAAGUGCAUUCACCUUGUUGAGUAUCAAAGCAACCCUUCUUGUUUCUUUGUUUUUCCCUAUCGUGAUCAUCGAUCGAAUAAAAAAGAAAGGACUUUGUUCGAUAGAUCAUUAAAUCCCGACUAUACCCCAAUCGAUCGAUCUUCCCAUUGUUCCCUACCCAACGCUCGACCUACCGUCCAAGGCAGGCAGAUCGAAAGCAGCGUCGAUACGAGACAGCAAGCGAAACUGGACAGAUAGUGAGAUGCUAUACAAUCUGCUUUCGUUAAGCGUUUAGUGGUGUCAUGCGACUAAUUUCGAAUUUAACCAUGGCCGACCCCCGUGUGCGGCGCUACAUAAAAACAAACGUUUAAGCAGGAAUUACUCUACCUACAACUCGCCGUGAAACUCAGUCUCUAUCCAUCUGAAGGAAGCGAAGAACUCCUACCGGAACAGAAGUAAAGACGUUGGAAUAAGCAUUAGUGGGUUUGACCAGCCGUGCAUUUAUGUGCCGUAUGGGAUGAAUUCCUUUUUGAUGUGCAUUUCCUGCAGGCGCCCAGUCGGUGUUCUCCCGACGCGCAUGAAAUUGUGAUAGGACGGGUCCACGAUCUCGAGAAGGUCCACCAACUCUCAAUUCUCGAGGGCGAAAACAAAUCACAAUCAAUACGACAACGCUAGGGGCUAUUGGUACCCUGUUUCAGGGAUAGGGGGAGGUACUAAUUGGGGCAAUAUGGCCGGUGUCCUUCUACUACGUAACUGGGGCAGCGUCUCUGAAUUUAUUCACCACUCUGUUUUUGCCGAUGCUUUACAUAAAACGUAUCGCUUGAUCU